CAAAAAACAGCAAGAACAUCUCCAAGAAUGCAGUAAAGAACAGCAUCAUUAGCCAAUGGGGGUGAGCUUUUAAGAGUGGCUGGCAGAGGGCCUGGAGACAGCAAUGCAAAGCCAGAGCCUGAGCUUCUUUAAAGGCUGCCUCGGCCGGCGCGCCCCCGCCCCCGCACUCACCUGGCCUGUGAUACCGGUGAUGAGCGCCACGUUCCUGGGCUUGCCCAUCUCGUGUUGUAUUAUAGGUGUAAGCCACUACUCGCCCCUGUGUAUGUAUUUUUAUGUAAAAUGUAAUAAAAUGUUUUUUCUCAACUGGAGAAAAUCUGGGAUUGUAACUGUUGAUGGUUAUGUAAUCUCAGCAAACUUCUUUGUCCUCCAUUGCUUCACAAUUAAAUGGGGCAGAUAUGCCUCCCCUCUCUCCCUCUAUUUCCUGAGCACACAUUCCAGAAUCUCAGCAAACUCUAGAGACAAAGACACAGCCCUGGCCCCCAGGGAGCAAGGUCUUAGGGUGCUGGAGAAAAUUAUCGUUUUUGUUCCCUUCCAAUAGUGAAAUCUAUGACCAUUAAAAAAAUACAGUAUACCUCCUAAUUAAGCCAAGUUUCCCUUCUCAUUUUAGUUAUCAGGAAUUUAAAUCAAUCAAGGCAUAAAUUGGAUCAAACAUUAUUACCACUGUUCAUUGAUAUCCUUAACUAAGAAUGUUAUUGAAACUUUCCCUUAAUACUUAUUAUAUAUCUUCCAAGUCAAUCCUGAGAAAAUCCAUAAAGCUCAUCUCAGGGCGAAAGCUUGUACAUUUAAGUAACAGGAUUCCAAAUAAACAAUAUUGCUGAGUUAACUAAAAAUACAUUAACUAAAAAUAAAUCUCAUCUAAAAUAUUAAAAAUGGAUAUUUUUAAAAUGCUUUU
rnacentral:lncRNA from 1 species